GCGGCUCCUAAAUUUUGACAUCUUCUUUGCCAAUAGGGCUAUAGGUUGCUGUGAGCCAAAAAUCCACCACUCUAUGGAUUUAGUACUACACAACAAGCUCAAGAGGUAGAAUGGAAGAAUUCCCAAUUGUGAAAUUGUUAGGUUAAUUAAAAUGUGGGUGUUUGUAAUUCAAUUAAAAUUAACCCCUUCCAAGCAAUGGUUACCGAUAUUAAAUUAAAAUAUCAGAUGAAAUUCACCACACAAAAAAAGGAUAAAAGUAAUUAAUUAAGUUUUUUUUUAUUAAUCCAUAAUAAGAAUAAAAAAUUAAGUUUAAAUUAAAAGUUAAAAGUUAAAGUUAGUUAAAAAUUAAAGUUAAAUAUUAAAUUCAAAAGUUAAAGUUCAAAGUUUAAAAAUUUAAGUGAGAAUAUUAAAGGUUAAAAGUUAAAAGUUAAAAUUUAUUAGUCAAAAGUUAAAAUGUGGAGAUUACGAGUUACUAUGAAGAUAAAAGUAAAAAUAAAAUAAGAGGGGUAAAAGCGAAGGUACCUUGACAAUGCCAAGGAUUGAAGGCAGCGACCCCCUUCUACUCCAAAAUUCGCCAAAACUUUUAAUUAGCUCCAAAUUGAAUGAUUCAUAGGUUGUUGCAAGGUUAACUUAAAGGCGCUCCUGAUCCAACAAAUUUCAUUGCAAUCUAGUGACCCAGUCGUGAGAAUUUCUCCUUUGAAGUUCAGUGAUGCCGUGGCAACCAACCCCCUUCACUUAGAAAUUCGCUAAAAAUUCAAAUUGUCUUCAAAUCCAGUGAAACUCGUACCCUUCAAAGCUUAGCUUACAAAUAUUGAUGCUCCCAAAAUUUCAAACGAAUUCAGUUAUCAGGCACUGAGAAAUGCCUUCCCAAACUCGAUUAAUCCAAACUGCGAAGGCAGUCGACCCCCUCACACUCAAACUUUCACCAGAAAUUCAGUUCAACUCCAAAUGGAGCGAGCCUUACCUUUUUGGAAAGCUAACAACAAAAGAUACAACCAAAAAAAAAAUCACAUUGGAACUAAAACAAUUGAAUGACUGAUGGAAGGAAAUCUGAGGCUCUUGAAACCCUUGGAGUAAUUGGGAGGCCAUGGGAGCUAUUCAUCACAAUGAAACGUGUUUUAAGACCCAAUGACUAUCAUUCACAACUUGAAAUCC
rnacentral:lncRNA from 1 species